rnacentral:rRNA from 1 species
CCAACAGGGAUUGCCUUAGUAACGGCGAGUGAAGCGGCAAAAGCUCAAAUUUGAAACCAAUCUCUGAUGUUCGAGUUGUAAUUUGGAGAGACAACUUCUGGAGGGACCCAGUCUAUGUGCCUUGGAACAGGACAUCAUAGAGGGUGAGAAUCCCGUUCUUGGCUGGAUGUUCCCUCCUCCAUGUAGUGUCUUCUACGAGUCGAGUUGUUUGGGAAUGCAGCUCAAAAUGGGUGGUAAAUUUCAUCUAAAGCUAAAUACUGGCGAGAGACCGAUAGCGCACAAGUAGAGUGAUCGAAAGAUGAAAAGCACUUUGAAAAUAGAGUCAAAAAGUACGUGAAAUUGUUGAAAGGGAAGCGCUUGAGAUCAGAGUCAGCCUUUGGCAAACAACUGUCCUUAUGGGCAGUGCACUUGUCAUUGGUUGGGUCAGCAUCGGUUGGGAUGGUGGGAUAAAGGCUUGGGAAAUGUGACUCCUUUAUGGAGUGUUAUAGUCCCGGGUGGCAUGCCAUCAGUCUCGACCGUGGACCGCGCCUCGGCUCGGAUGCUGGCUUAAUGGUCUUCAGCGACCCGUCUUGAAACACGGACCAGGAGUCUAACGUCUAUGCAAGUGUUUG